ACCAGCGGGCUCCGCCCCCUGGGCGGGAAGGAGAGGGCGGGGUGAGGUCUCGGGUGGUGGUGGUUUUAUUUUCUUUUUUCUCAAACCACACUUGACUUCUGCAGCUUCCUUUCAGAUCCCGAAGGAAGAUUUAUGGGGUUUGAAGUAAACCUUGACAAUCCCUUCGAACUGCACGCCCCUCACGUUGAAGGGGGGUCUACAGGCCUGCGAGCACCACACAACGAGUCAGAGAGCGGGUUAAAGGGAGGCUGGAGCACCUACCAUCGGGGACAGAGGAGAGAGACGCAGGAAGGGGCCGGCGGCCAGCCCGGGAUGGCCCCACAGACCGGGAAGAUGCUCUCGGGCCGGUUCCUGCGUCAGCCCCGGGGGCCUCGCAGCCGGGCCCCGCUCCUCCGUGAACGUGGCCCAAGGGGCAGUUCUGCUGGGAAGAAAGAUGGGCACGGGCUGCGCCAACAGGAGCGAACGUUUGGGCGCCAAGAACGAUGAGCAGUUCUGACCUUUCAUCAAAUCUAAGGAAGCCAAGGAUGCCUGGGGCUGGGAUUACAUUGAGAGGAGGGGAUCGCCAGGAGGAAGAGAGUGUGCCUCGCCCCCUAUCUGCUACUUGAGAAAAAAUGAAUUCAAAGUCCCACUGAAUACUGGGCGGUCUGCCCAUCUGCCUUUUUGUUGUUGUUCUUCGCUAGAAUUUCUUUGCUGGUUUCCAUCUGGGUUUAGUCUGUGUCACUGCCUGUGUGGGGCGGUUCCUGGGAGUAUGGGAGAUGAGUGCAGUGUGUUCCUACGCUGGUUUCUUCGUGCACAAAGGUGGCAGGCUGGAGUGGUUAAGACAAGCAGCGGAGAGAUGGACCUCUGUGUGCAGGACCCCUACCACACCUGGACUGAGGUGAACAGGAGAACAGAGUCCAGCAAACUAAAAUUGGGUCCAACCGGUCACAUCAUCAGAAUAUGUGUUUCCCACUUGAAGUCCUCUCUGGAACUGUUGCAACCCGCCACGUGCCAUAGAAACACAUCGGCUCAUAAGACUGUCUACAGAUUCUUGCCAAAAACUGUCUGCUGCUCACUCGAAGAUUGUUUCUCCCCUUUCUGUCCCCCAAAAAGAAAAACCAAUGGUCUUCCUAAAAAGCUUACUUUCCUUUACAGAAGUUUCUCUUGU